GCAAGAUCAAGCCAGCGAGGGAAUUAGAUUCUCUUAUGGAAAGGAAAUCUCUAAGCCCUCUCCAGUCUCUGGCCUUCUCUCUGCCACUUCCUUCGUCUACCACCUCGCCUGGGGACUCGACAGGUUCUGGGCCCAGCUACUCCUCAGCUCCUUCCCCAGAGCAUUACUUCCCUGCACAGGAAUUCGCGAUAUUCCUGGCUGCCCAAAACGGAGAGGCCCUGCAAACUCCCGACCCGAGAAUAACUGAGGGAGCAAGAGCUCAACGCCUCAACAGGGCGAAACUUUGACCGAGAACAAAAGAACGGCUGCCAGCAGGAAUCGCUACCCCCGAGCGCGAGCAGCCAGCCCCUUUCUGUUGUGUAAAACCUCUGGCUAGUUUCUAAUAUGCAUUCAAACUUCCUGAGGACUCCGAGUGGAGGGUCGAGUGAUUGCGUCCGCGAGGACCGGAGACCCCGAGGCCCGGCCCCAGAGGUGAAGCCGAAGUCUAGCUCUCCGCGGGGCUCGGAAUCCCCUGUGAACCUCCAGCCUCAGCGGCCCC
rnacentral:lncRNA from 1 species